rnacentral:rRNA from 1 species
UACGUAGGGUCCAAGCGUUGUCCGGAUUUAUUGGGCGUAAAGAGCUCGUAGGCGGCUCAGUAAGUCGGAUGUGAAAACUCGAGGCUCAACCUCGAGACGCCGGUGGAAACCAUCUAGCUAGAGUCCGGAAGAGGAGAGUGGAAUUCCUGGUGUAGCGGUGAAAUGCGCAGAUAUCAGGAAGAACACCCGUGGCGAAGGCGGCUCUCUGGGACGUGACUGACGCUGAGACGCGAAAGCGUGGGGAGCGAACAGG